CUGUGAAUAUAAUUCAGGGCAGGGCCUUUUGAAUUCUCUGCCACCAGGGGCCUCAUAUUUCCAAAUAACAUUUCCCAAAAUCCUGUGUUCUCAGUCUCCUGCCCCAGCUCCAUUUCCUUAUGCCAACCAGCAAGCAGCCUUGGUUUCAAUUUAAAUACAAGCUUCUUUCACUUUGCAAAAGUUGCUUAAUACUUGUACUGAAAAUUAAUCUGACUCUGGGAGGCUUCCGAAUGUUACAGAACCUUAACGAAAAUUAUUGGAAAAUGAAGGAUGGUUUUGUAAAAGCAAAGACUCGUGAUGCUCUGUUCAAUAACAUGCAUGUUGAAAUGCUCCAAUUACAGUGCGCCCGACUUGCUCCAGGAGUUUUUAGAAGAAUGAUGCUGUUGGUGAUGGAUGCUGGAACGCAGCAUAAAAAAUGAAAGAAAGAAAGCUUUAAAAAGCAGAAGGAGAGAGGCAAAUGUGUUCCCAGCUACAUUAGCCACCCAAACUCUUCAACAAUAUCUUCACUAAUCUACACAAUUGUGUGUUCCUGUAUGGCAGGAGGUUGGGUUGGAUAGCCCAUGUGGUCUCUUCCUACUCUAUGUUUGUAAAACAAGUAAUUUCUUAUGAUAAAUGUGGUGAAAAUGUCCCCACAUUUGAAAAUGUGAACAUUCAGGGGCAAUUUAUGUUUAACAGGGCACAGAGUCCACAGAAAGGCUGCAUGUGUGUUGUGGGCUACACUUUGCUCAUCCCUGUUAAUGGUGUUUCCUUUCUUGCCUUUAUGUGUUGCCCUCCAAAAUGAUGUUGGAUGGGGAAUGUGAGCAAUGCCUGGGGAGAUCACGGGGCCCAGUGGGGCAUUCCUGGAUAUGUUUAGAUGCAUCAAGUGGUGCCAUCUGCGAUGUUGUGUGUAGGACAUGCAUGUGAGUCCAUCGUCUUCCUCUGUGUGUGUACAGCUAUGUAGGUGGAGAUGGCACAGUACUUGAUUUUUGGACACUAAAUGGCUUUCACAAACAUAUGAAGGGAGCCCUCCCAUUUACCACUAUUUUUCUGUCACAUUCAAAACUCAAUAAAAAGGGAGCAGGAGGGAAGAAAGAGGGAAAACAGCCAUGGCAACGGAGCAAUGCAGCCCACCUGUAUUGUAUCCAUCUAAUGCUUUACAAAGUACAUUUCUGAAGGAGGAAAAAUGUGAAAUUAAAAGAAGCCAACCAAGACCAGCUUUUGAUGCUUCUAUUUUGAUCCAGAGCCCAUAAUAGUAGCUUGUUUAUAGUGUUUAAAAAUUAUGUAAUCAAACAGUAUAUACAGUGAAUUAAGAAAUUAAAAAAUAAACAAUAUGUGUUCCAUUUUUCUUGUUAUAUGUGUUAUUGUUUUGUUGUGUUUAUUUUAUACACAAUGGGAAGUAAACUUCCUACUUGUGCACUCUGUUCUUGGAGUAGGUGGCAAACAAAGGUACCUACUUUCACUCUUCUGGGAAGCUGCAACGCAGUGGUUCCCAAACUCUGGUCCUUCAGAAGUUUUGGACUUCAGUUCCCAGAUACCCCAACCAGCUUGGCCAAUUGUCAGUAAUUCUUGGGGUUGAAGUUCAAAACAUUUGGAAGAUGAAAAAUUUGGAACUAUUGAAGUAAAGUAAUGAAUUCUAGAAAGAUGUCCCUGAACACAGCUGCCUAUAUUUUCCUUGCUUACUCACAUCUGAAGCCAUCCUACAUUACUUUGGAUAUUAAUUGUGAAAUUAUAUAGUGAUAUUAUAUAAAGUAGGCACAGACACCAGUGGCCUUCCAGAUGUGGGACUAUAUCUCCUACAAUCCCUUGAUAGUGUUGUUAGAACUAGUGGAAAUUAUAGCAAGAUGACCAACUAGAUAUAAGUUAAUUAAUUAAUGUAAGUGCAUAAUGAAACACUAGAGAUGAGGACCAGGGUCCCACAUGGGGAGAUGGGACACCUGCCAACUUUUAGUCACCAAGUUUUUCACAGAUGAAACUUUGCUCCAUCUUCUAUCUUCCCUCUGUCAGCUACUCAGCCAAUGGAGAGCAGGAGGUAGGAGUCAAGAACUGGGCUGGAUAUACAAUGAUGAAAGCAUCUUCUCGGACAUGUGUCAUGCCCAUUCUUUCAACUUCUCACUAAAUGACCAUGUUGAGGGAACACAGAGAUAAGGUAGAUUUCCAGUGGGUAGCAGUUGUUACAUGAAGGAAGUGGUGAAUUUCUCCUUCUACAAUGGCUAAAAAAGACAUGUGCUAGAAUAACUCCACUGGAUAACAUGUACAGAUUCCACCUCUGCAUUUUAUGUACACUGUACUAAAGUAUAACCCCCCCCCCCCAUAUCUGUGUACCUGGACUGCAAGUGGAUACACAAAAUGUAGGUAACAAUAAAUCCUAUUGAAUGAAGAACCUCUGUCAGAAGAUUGCCAUAGAGUUGCACUGGAGGAUCUAGAAAAUGCGUAGAGAAGGCAUACUUUGUUAGACACAGGUUAAUGAGGCCACAUGUAUCAGUCCCACAGACGUAGAAGUCGUACUGUACUGAGCUAUGAUCUUACCCCUACCAUUUCCUCACAUGGUUUACCACUGUAAGGACGCUAAUCACGUUUCACAGUACAUGUAAUUUAGUUAGAUAUAUAGUUGUUAACACAGUGAAGCAUGCUUUUUCCAAAUAUUUGGAAUCUUUACAAAAUCUCUGCUACAAAUCUACAAUGUGGCUUUACUCUGAAUAGAUACCAGAUGUUCUCCAUUUAGGACAUUACAUUCCUUUCUUCCCUUACGUUACACACAACACGAACAAAGGAGGUACUGCCAGUGGAACUUUUUCCAUUUCAUUCUGUAUUUGUUCUCUAGAUUCAGAUACUUAAUUGAACAUUUUAAUUCUGGAAACUCCCUGUUCAACUGGCAAAGAAAAAACAUAGUUAUGUGCAUACUUAUCAGGAAUAAAGCACCUGGAUUAUACAGGCUGAUUCAUACAGCCUUUCUGAAGGCUGCAUCUAUAUUGUGGAAUUUGUACAGUUUGGCACCGCUUUAACUGUCAUGCCUCAAUACUAUGGAAUCCUGGGAUUUAUACCUUGGUGAGGCACCAGCACUCUUUUGCAAAGAAGAUUAAAUGCCACGUAAAACUGCAACUCACAUGUUUUCAUAACACAGAGCUAUGGCAGUUAAAGUGGGGUCAAACUGCAUUGAUUCUACUGUGUAGAUGCAUUCUGAGUUAAAAUCAUAUUGAACUGCCUUAUGAAUGUGGCCCUAUUUUGAAGGCACGUUAAAGUCCUUUGGUAGCUGGCUUCUGGUGGCCAGCUUGGUUUCCAUUCGUGGCAUGCUUUGAAAUGUUUGGAAAAGUUCCUCUUUUGAUGACAACUGUC
ensembl:lncRNA